rfam:Gossypium hirsutum cultivar TM-1 chromosome 4, whole genome shotgun sequence
AACCCAUGAUGAGGGCACCUUCUCAAUAGAUCCUUGGAUCUCUCCCAUGUAUUAUAAAGUGUUUCUAAAUCCAUCUGCACAAAAGAAGAGAUAUCAUUCCUCAAUUU